AUACGGAGGAUCCAAGCGUUAUCCGGAUUUAUUGGGUUUAAAGGGUGCGCAGGCGGAAGAUUAAGUCGGCGGUGAAAUUUUGCAGCUCAACUGUAAAAGUGCCAUCGAUACUGGUUUUCUUGAGUGUGGAUGAAGUAGGCGGAAUUUGUGGUGUAGCGGUGAAAUGCAUAGAUAUCACGAGGAACUCCGAUUGCGCAGGCAGCUUACUAGGCCAUAACUGACGCUCAGGCACGAAGGCGUGGGGAUCAAACAGGAUUAGAUACCCUGGUAGUCCACGCAGUAAACGAUGAUUACUCGCUGUUUGCGAUACACAGUAAGCGGCUUAGCGAAAGCGUUAAGUAAUCCACCUGGGGAGUACGGUCGCAAGAAUGAAACUCAAAUGAAUUGACGGGG
rnacentral:rRNA from 1 species